CAGGAGGCUUUGGAAGCUCAAAGCCUUUGACAGCUCAUAGAAAAACUGAUCAAGGGGUAUCUAGGUGCCACUGUAUGAAACAUGUCUACAGCAAUGCUGCUGAGUUAAUUUGCACUGCCAGGUUACAAGUCAACCUGUCUGCUUCACAGCCAUGAACUUCUCCCUCUUCCAUCACUACAGGUUAACCAAGGUGGCAUCUAGAAUAUGAUGUUAGUCUUUUUAAAUACUGUUUGUCAAUACUGGGAAGAAGAAAGGCAAAGAAUGAUCAUCUGUUGAAGCAAAGUGAACUAUAAUUGUAGAUGGCAACAAUAAUUUGGGGCCUGGAAAGCCCAUCUUUUCCUUUGAUUUGCAUUUGGAUUGAUGGAGUCUCUAACUUAGAAUAAUGAAAUUUACUGCUUUGUUAAAGCAAAGCAAUAAGAAAUUUCACUUCUUCGUCUCAAUGAAGCCACCCAAAAUUCCAUGUAUUUUCUUUUGUAAAUUGUUUAUUUUUAAUACUCUAUGCUCAUUAUUCUUUUAUAUGCUGAAUGUUAACACUUUGGUGAUGGCGUAAGACCAUCCCUGCUCCUGUAUGUUUUUUUUUUAAUUGAAGUAUAGUCAACAAACAAUAUCGUAUUAGUUUCAGAUGUACAUCAUAGUGAUAUGAUUAUUUUUGUACAUUAUAAAAUGACCCACACUUUAAGUCUACGUCUGUUACCACAAAAAGUUAUUACAAUAUUAUUGUCUAUAUUUACAGUGCUGUGUAUUACAUCCUCAUGGCAUAUUUGUUUAUAACUGGAAGUGUGUACCUCUUAAUCCCCUUUGUCUAUUUCACUUGCCCCCAACUCCUCUCCACACUGGUAACCAAAGACUGUGUGUAAACUGUGUGUGUCUGGCAGCUUCUGCAGACCAGAUGGAGCUGGAGCAGGUGCAGGACAAGAUGGUCCCAGGCCACACCGAGGUUUCCCUUAUGGAAUGGCUGUAUCAGAUGCAGGCCAAGGAGCAGUCUCAAUGCAUGUUACAUAGAAGCCAGUGUGGCAAGACAGCUGGGGCUAGAGUGAGCACAUGCCAGGGGUGUCCCACGGCAUGCCAAACUGGGCUGUUAUGGCAGGCUGGCUGGAACUGGAGCAGCUGUGGGGGGUGGGGGGGUGCUGGAGCACAACAUACUGGGACUGCAUCUUAGCAGGAUGGCUGGGUUGGGCACCUGCCAGAAGGGGUCCCUGAGCUCACUGUAUCAGGGCACCCUUGACUCAGUGGCUGGAGCUGAAGUGGGUGCAGGCUAGUGAUGCCCAGGCUGUGUAGUACUGGGGUCCCCUCAGGGAGACAGCUGGAGUUGAUGUAGCUUAGGGGUCUGGGCAUGCUGAGGUGGCCCUAGCAAGUGAGAGUCCCUGGAAUCUGCUCCUGUUGGGUUCAUCAAGGUGGAGAGUCAAUAUAAAAAAUGGCUCUCGCUGGCACCUUCAACCCAGAGAGUUCCAGUAGUUUCCUGCCCAUUUGGCAGAGGCUCUAGGGUUAGUAAAUAGAUUUCCUUUACUGACAGUCUAGUUGUCCUUUAAACCACAGUUUUUUUCACUGUGCCCCAUGGCAUUCAAGUUUGCAGGCCAGCCUCUUCAGUAAUAUCCCUCCCCACUGCAGAUGGCGUUUUGGGAGUGGGGAUCCUGUCACCACCGUGUCUCCUGGACUUAAAGUCAAUGGUGGUAUGGUUACCUAAUCCCUGUCAGGUUCACUCUUACAUGCUGUUUGGCAACUGUCCUGGUUCAUCCAGGCCAAAGCAGAGGAAAAGUAAGGAAUAAAAGGAAGACAGAAAGGGGUGCCCUGGCUCUUUGUCUCUCUAUAGCUCCCACUGCACUAUGACAAAUAUCCAUCUUUUCCAAGGAGGAAAAGCAGUCUUCUGAUCACUACCCUUGAUAUAUACAUGUAUAAUCCACCUGUGACAAGUGGACACCAAUGCAUACACAAGCACUCUACCCAUGAUGGCCUCCGACAAGAUCCACCAUGCAGAAACAAGUUAAAACAGAACUUCUAUUGAUACCCAUUUUAAAUCUCAUCUUGUAAUGUUUCUUUUCUAUCAAAUAUUUUAUAAGAUACCUAAAGUAUUAGUUUAGUAGUAAUUUGACCCACAAAACCAGUAAUGGUUCAAUCUAAUGCACAGACCUUAAUUUACAAGGAAGUAAAAAAGCAUACAUUGCAGAGAAGAUAUGUGUGCUUGGGCACUGGUUACCAAUUAGGGUGUAUGAAUGAGUCUUGGAACUG